UGGGGAAUAUUGCGCAAUGGGCGAAAGCCUGACGCAGCGACGCCGCGUGAGGGAUGAAGGCCUUCGGGUCGUAAACCUCUGUCAGGAGGGAAGAACCGCCAUGGUGCUAAUCAGCCGUGGUCUGACGGUACCUCCAAAGGAAGCACCGGCUAACUCCGUGCCAGCAGCCGCGGUAAUACGGAGGGUGCGAGCGUUAAUCGGAAUCACUGGGCGUAAAGCGCACGUAGGCUGUUUGGUAAGUCAGGGGUGAAAUCCCGCGGCUCAACCGCGGAAUUGCCCUUGAUACUGCUGGACUCGAGUCCGGGAGAGGGUGGCGGAAUUCCAGGUGUAGGAGUGAAAUCCGUAGAUAUCUGGAGGAACAUCAGUGGCGAAGGCGGCCACCUGGACCGGUACUGACGCUGAGGUGCGAAAGCGUGGGGAGCAAACAGG
rnacentral:rRNA from 2 species